rnacentral:rRNA from 1 species
CCUACGGGGGGCAGCAGUGAGGAAUAUUGGUCAAUGGACGUGAGUCUGAACCAGCCAAGUAGCGUGAAGGAUGACUGCCCUAUGGGUUGUAAACUUCUUUUAUAAGGGAAUAAAAUGAGUCACGUGUGCCGUUUUGCAGGUACUUUAUGAAUAAGGAUCGGCUAACUCCGUGCCAGCAGCCGCGGUAAUACGGAGGAUCCGAGCGUUAUCCGGAUUUAUUGGGUUUAAAGGGAGCGUAGAUGGGUUGUUAAGUCAGUUGUGAAAGUUUGCGGCGCAACCGUAAAAUUGCAAUUGAUACUGGCAGUCUUGAGUACAGUUGAGGUAGGCGGAAUUCGUGGUGUAGCGGUGAAAUGCUUAGAUAUCACGAAGAACCCCGAUUGCGAAGGCAGCUUACUAAACUGUGACUGACAUUGAUGCUCGAAAGUGUGGGUAUCAAACAGGAUUAGAUACCCCAGUAGUC